UACGUAGGGGGCAAGCGUUGUCCGGAAUCAUUGGGCGUAAAGAGCGUGUAGGCGGCCCGGUAAGUCCGCUGUGAAAGUCCAGGGCUCAACCCUGGGAUGCCGGUGGAUACUGUCGGGCUCGAGUCCGGAAGAGGAGUGUGGAAUUCCUGGUGUAGCGGUGAAAUGCGCAGAUAUCAGGAAGAACACCAAUGGCGAAGGCAGCUCUCUGGGACGGUACUGACACUGAGACGCGAAAGCGUGGGGAGCGAACAGG
rnacentral:rRNA from 1 species